UGUUCUGUGAACAAAAACUUCAACACUUCUAAGAAAUUAAAAAAGAAAGUGGUGAGCACAUAAGGUUCUUGCUACAUCUGUUAGGAAGAAGAAAAAAAUCACAGAACCCCAGAAAUGUGGGGAGUGGAACAAGAAAAUUGGAUAAAAGAACUGUAUCCCAAGGACAGAAAGUCUUUCCCAUUUAAGUAAAAACAAAUCAGAUGACCCAAAACAUUCCUGAUGAAUAAAAACUUAAAUAGAGGCUCUUCAUCUCUUCAUGACAUGACUAGUCAAGCACUAAUUUGGGCAGAACACAGUUUUUUGGAUACCACUUUGCCAACGAUCCCCCGUGAAUUGGAGUUGUGCUUGACAGAGUUCAAAGCUAUGAUGUGGAUCGGACUGUUAUGUUGGGGAGAGGGGAGGUCCAAGACCUCUAUAAAUAAUCUACAGCAGGUAAGUAUUUCUGCACCCUUGCAUCUGGAUCUUGGAGUACUUUCUUUGACCAUUAGAAGAAAACAAACUGAAGCGGAAAUCCAGACUUUCUUGCUGCCAGACUGCAACGCACAGUUGGAUCUACAAACCCAGCUCUCCAAGCUAGUUAGUUAUUCUGGCAUAAACUGUAACAGGAAUUUGACUACAGCACCAAUAUGGGAAGAGGUGGGCACAAAAUACAAUGAGAACAGACGUGCUGAAGACAGUGUCUGAUAUUGUGCCCCAAAAGGAAGCAAGAGAGUACAGGGGAUAAACUGCAGAGCUGAGAGUUCUCCUUGGACAUUCUGCCUGGAAAAGCAACAAUUGAGAAGUGGUCAAGUACCAAUAAAGAAAUGUAAUUGUGCUCUCA
rnacentral:lncRNA from 1 species